UCUUUGUGUUGCUUGCAGUGACAGUCAAAGACUGGUCAUUGAUCUUGGAAGCCAAGUUCCAGGAUCGAAGACAUUCAGGACAUGUUAUUGUCCUGAGGAUUUGCACAUAUCAUGGAAGAAAUAGAGAAAAUCUUGUAAUAUAAAAUAGUGCCUGAACAAUUCUCAAGCUAAAUUUGCCAUAACUAAAGGGCUUUUCUUCAUGGAAUCUACUACAUUCUGCAAACCAAGAAUUCCUGAACCAAUAGAAUUUUAAUAAUUUAUUGGCA